rfam:Dipodomys ordii contig_55013, whole genome shotgun sequence.
UGGGGUGUGGCUCAGUGGUAGAGCACUUGUCUGACAUGCCUGAGGACCUGGGUUCAAUCCCCAGCCCUAG